UGGGGAAUCUUCCGCAAUGGACGAAAGUCUGACGGAGCAACGCCGCGUGAGUGAAGACGGCCUUCGGGUUGUAAAGCUCUGUGAUCCGGGACGAAAGAGCCUGAGGUAAAUAGCCUAAGGAAGUGACGGUACCGGAAAAGCAAGCCACGGCUAACUACGUGCCAGCAGCCGCGGUAAUACGUAGGUGGCAAGCGUUGUCCGGAAUUAUUGGGCGUAAAGCGCGCGCAGGCGGCUUACUAAGUCCAUCUUAAAAGUGCGGGGCUUAACCCCGUGAUGGGAUGGAAACUGGAAAGCUGGAGUAUCGGGGAGGAAAGUGGAAUUCCUGGUGUAGCGGUGAAAUGCGUAGAGAUUAGGAAGAACGCCGGUGGCGAAGGCGACUUUCUGGACGAAAACUGACGCUGAGGCGCGAAAGCGUGGGGAGCAAACAGG
rnacentral:rRNA from 1 species